GAACUGGAAGGGUCAAAGAAAAUGUGAAUUAGAGCCCUUACAACGUUAUAGGAGAGCCAUCUGAGUUGGAUACAGCUACUGUCUUUGCCAAAUGUCAACUUCAGGAAAUGAAUAGUCAUGUAUCAGUCAACCUAGGACUGAGAAAGUGUGAAAUGGGACUGAAGAAAAUGGUGAGAUCAGAUUCUUAGGAAACAGAUUCUGAUGGAGUGACCUGGGACCCAUCACCUGUAAGGCCCACAGGAAGAAGGGUCAGAUAUCAAUCACCCAGAGAUCAUUACACAGAAGCUAGACGGCUCAAUCCUAGAUGAUUCUUACAUCUCUGUCUCCACAGAAGGCCAGCAUUACAAUUGCCAUCAUAGGA
rnacentral:lncRNA from 1 species